CAGGGGAGAAGUAAGAUAAUCUGUCUUACUGGGGCAGGGGGAUGUUCACGUGUUGCUCUUUUUCUUUUUCCCUUUGUUGUUGUUUGGCUUUUUUUUUUUUGAUAUAGAAUGUUUUCAGGAAACAUGAAAUGUACUGCCAGUUAGAGCGGGGCUGGGAAGGCACAGGCACCAAGCCUCAGCUACCUGGUUGAGACAGGAAACCGUGCGUUUAGGGAGCCAAACCAGUGUGUGACUGUGAGCGAGUUGACUGAGACACGAGUUGAAGAUGUCUCUGUUGUGUCUGCUGCUCUUACCGUUUUCUUCAGUCAAAGCCUUAACAAUGAACAUACUUCAACAUGAUACGGGUCUGUCAGCGUAAACCUGUAAAAGGGCAUGGACAGCUUUUCAGAUAAUCCAGAGGUGUUGGAAAUGGUUAAACUUUAAGCUGGUAUUUAAUCAUCCCCACUUGAUGUUAUUGGGAUGGGUAGCAGAAAGGCAGGAUUGUGGGCUUU
rnacentral:lncRNA from 1 species